rnacentral:ncRNA from 1 species
AUAAGCAGUCGAAAUUUUAUUUAUAUAAAAUGACGGCGUACCUUUUGCAUAAUGGGUCAGCAAGUUAAUAGAAGUAGCAAGGUUAAAAGCCUAAGCGAAAGCGACUACUUAGUUAGUAAGUGGGUUAAGUUACUUCUAUUAGACCCGAAGCCAGGUGAUCUUUCCAAGACCAGAUUUAAACAGAUCGAACGGGUGAAUGUUGCAUAAUUCUCCGAUGAGUUUUGGAAAGCGGUGAAAUGCUAAUCUGACCUGGUGAUAGCUGGUUUUCUACGAAACAUAUUUAAGUAUGACAUCUACAUAAAAAUUUAUGGAGGUACAGCACGGUAAUUCCCAACAAAUAUUAAAAAUAAAUAUAAUUUUAUUAUAUUAAUUUUGAUAGGAGUUUAGGUUGUGGGGACCUCGAAAAUCUUACCAAUGGAAAUGAAUCUCGGAAUUACAUAAAUUGGUGGUAGAUAUUCAGACUAUUCAUGCUAAGUUGAAUAGUCAAGACGGAAACAGCCGAGAACACAAAUUAAGGUCCCGAAUGAUUAUUAAGUGAAAUAAAGGAUGUGACAUAUUGAAUGCAGCUGAAAAGUGAGCCUGGCAGUCGCUAACUUAUAAUGAACGUGUAACAACGUAUCAGCCCUUAGAUAGUUGCACCGAAGAUUUAAC